AGCAGUAGCCGCGGUAAUACGGAGGGGGCUAGCGUUGUUCGGAAUUACUGGGCGUAAAGCGCACGUAGGCGGCUUUGUAAGUUAGAGGUGAAAGCCCGGAGCUCAACUCCGGAAUUGCCUUUAAGACUGCAAAGCUAGCAGGUGAGAGAGGUGAGUGGAAUUCCGAGUGUAGAGGUGAAAUUCGUAGAUAUUCGGAGGAACACCAGUGGCGAAGGCGGCUCACUGGUCCAUUACUGACGCUGAGGUGCGAAAGCGUGGGGAGCAAACAGGAUUAGAUACCCCCGUAGUCCCUGUCUCUUAUAC
rnacentral:rRNA from 1 species